CUAUAAAGGUCUCAGAGUGGAGCCUACCCUGGAAAAGUAGGCCUCCAGUGCAGGAGAUGAAAAGGUAAUUGCUGUGUUGUGGAGUUCUGUCUUCUUUCUUCACUGAUAUCCAUCUUUACUACACCUACUAGUGUUGCAGUCAUCUUGAGUUAGUGGCUCAAAGUAAACUUAGACCCAGACUAUUGAAAGAAAUCUUCACUUUCUAAUCAUUGUCAGACUGGCAGAGACACGUGGACACUGGAGAUAUGGAAGCGCCAAUAAGGAAGAAGAGGCACAGCAAACUCUAGACUGGAAGGUCACAGGGUCCAACCUGAACCCAUCUGUCAAUUACACUGGUCUUUGUAUUGUAUGUGGCAAUAUAGUAUAUAAGCGGUCCCCACCUAGAUGGACAGGACGCCCUCUGGUACUCGGUACUCCACUUAAAUGCCAGCCAAAUUAUAAAUUGGGCUCUUUUGUUCAUAAAAUGGUACCAAGCAAACAUACCGGACAUGAUAUUAUUAAAAACCCACUUGUAUAGCACAAUUCUAAAUUCUUUUUGGUGCUCAGGACUCUUUGCCAGGCAUUUGGAGCUCACAAGAUUAAAAAGGCAGUUUGAAUCUCUCCAUGGUACAAUAAUAUCACCGUGUAAGUAAGCACUGGGAGCACUUUAGUUAGAAAUCAACAAACUAGCCUCUGUUGUAUCUGAAAAACUGCUGCCUCCUGGAUGCCCUGACAGCCCAAUAAGGAGGAGCUUGUGUGAUUAUUGGUGCAAAUGCUUCUCACCCAGGGCAAGUAGAAACUGUGAUCUAUACUAAAAGAUAAGAUAAAUAUUUGCCAUCAAAUUAAUGAAGACCUAUUUCCAAGAAUGGGAGACUGGUUUAAUGGGGUGUGGAAUAAUGUGCUUAGAUCUGUUCUUUUCUACUUAGUCCUUCUCAGUCUAAUCUAUGUUCUUGUCUCCAUUUUCAGAUCUCUUAUUACUUCACUGCUAACCAGUUGCCACAGCUACCACCUUAGCUUAUAAUGUGUGAAACUUCUAGGAGAGUUCCAGACAGAGGGAAUGAAGGAGCUCAGGAAAUUUCACCCCAAAAUAUGAACUGUUGGUAUAAAGAAAAUUUGAAUUGCAGAGCCCUAGAGAUCAACAAAGCAUUGGAGAGAGCUUUCUCUCUGUCUGCAUAAACUGGGCUGACCUCAUCAAAAGAUCAAAGGAGAGAUUGACUGCCUUUCCUCUCCAUGUUAUCUCAAUAUAUUGCAGGAAAGAAGAAGAUGAAAAAUGCAAGCAGACAUGGCCCAAAUUAUUUAAAACACCAUACCUGUCUCUCAGUUUAAUUUAAUUUGCAAAGAGAAUCAUUUACAAAUUAAUCUGUCUCCCCCAUCUAUUUGUCCACCUAGCACCAUUUGUCACCUCUAAACAGAAUUACCUAUACUACACAUUUCCCCUCCCCUACAAAAACACGUAUAUAAAAAUAUCUGAACUUCACUGGGAUAUUGGGUAAUCACUAUGUGAUUCUACCCAUG